CCUACGGGUGGCAGCAGUGAGGAAUAUUGGUCAAUGGACGCAAGUCUGAACCAGCCAAGUAGCGUGCAGGAUGACUGCCCUAUGGGUUGUAAACUUCUUUUGUACAAGGAUAAAACGAGACACGUGUGCCUUUUUGCAUGUACUUUAUGAAUAAGGAUCGGCUAACUCCGUGCCAGCAGCCGCGGUAAUACGGAGGAUCCGAGCGUUAUCCGGAUUUAUUGGGUUUAAAGGGAGCGUAGAUGGUCGGUUAAGUCAGUGGUGAAAGUUUGCGGCUCAACCGUAAAAUUGCAAUUGAUACUGGCAGGCUUGAGUACAGUUGAGGUAGGCGGAAUGCGUGGUGUAGCGGCGAAAUGCUUAGAUAUCAUGAAGAACACCGAUUGCGAAGGCAGCUUACCAAACUGCGACUGACAUUGAGGCUCGAAAGUGUGGGUAUCAAACAGGAUUAGAUACCCGAGUAGUC
rnacentral:rRNA from 1 species